UACGGAGGGUGCGAGCGUUGUCCGGAAUCACUGGGCGUAAAGGGUGCGUAGGUGGCCGGGUAAGUCUGACGUGAAAUCUCCGAGCCUAACUCGGAAACUGCAUCGGAUACUAUCCGGCUCGAGGGUUGGAGGGGGGACUGGAAUACUUGGUGUAGCAGUGAAAUGCGUAGAUAUCAAGUGGAACACCAGUGGCGAAGGCGAGUCCCUGGACAACUCCUGACACUGAGGCACGAAAGCUAGGGGAGCAAACAGG
rnacentral:rRNA from 1 species